AUUACCCCCAAUACCACUUAAGAAGUGCUAUUUGCUAUACAUUGCCCGAAUCGGGUGCGGAGCUGAGCCAGAUAGUUUCAGUUGGAGUUUGGGUCGGGCUUGGGUCUGACCCAAAUGCUCGCAGUGGCAGCCUUCUCUGGUCCUUUUUUUUUUUUUUUUUUUUUUCAAUGGAAACGGGACAAAAACCCUAAAUAACAAUCAUUCUCCAGUUAGUUACCCUCCCCGCUAGUUUGCUAAUCCACCCCUCCUCUUCCCUCGUGGCUUCUCCCUUCUGGUGGAGUCUUCGGUUGUCCGCCCCUCCGCUCCUACGAUAGAAUCCCUGCCCUCCACUACAAAUGAUGGCACUUUAGGCUUAGCCAAUCAUACCGACUGCUUGUGAAUUCUAUCUUUUAUGGUUGUCCCCCUUUUUGUUGGUUUUACAGGUCUCGGCUCCUCGACAACACUCGUAAGUUUGAACCAAUCAAGGAAGUUUAGGUGAAGCUAGGGAAGUGCAAUAAUAUUAACGACAUAAGCCCUGAAGGAUAUGUGAUCAUGCUCAACGCCUCUCCUGGGAUCCUCAUAAGAGGCAAACACAGAGCAUACUUUAAUUCUUUCUGAUGUGCAUGAUCCUCAUAAGAGGUAAGUACAGAGCAUACUCGAAGUCAACUCCUGGUAUUGAAGAAUUACUUCAAACUCUAAGAACUCAUUUUGCCCAGAGGGGAAGAAUUUAAAAAGUCACGAAGAGAGUAUUUCAAAAAGAGUGAUUUAUUGCCAAUGAAUAUUCAUUGAUUUUUUAUUUCAAAAAUCGCUACUAUCAAAUAAAUUAUUUGUUUUAUUAAAAUAUUUUUCUUAAAAAAAAGAUUUUUUUUUGGAUAAAUUACACUG